CAAUAAGCGGAGGAAAAGAAACUAACAAGGAUUCCCCUAGUAACGGCGAGUGAAGAGGGAAGAGCCCAAGAUUGAAAGCUGGCGUCUUCGGCGUCCGCAUUGUAAUCUCAAGAAGUGUUUUCCGCUUCGGACCAUGCCUAAGUCCCUUGGAAAAGGGCAUCAUAGAGGGUGAAAAUCCCGUACAUGGCAUGGAGCGCCCGAAGCUUUGUGAUACGCUUUCUAAGAGUCGAGUUGUUUGGGAAUGCAGCUCAAAAUGGGUGGUAAAUGCCAUCUAAGGCUAAAUAUUGGGGAGAGACCGAUAGCGAACAAGUACAGUGAUGGAAAGAUGAAAAGAACUUUGAAAAGAGAGUUAAACAGUACGUGAAAUUGCCAAAAGGGAAGGGUAGGAGGUCAGAGAUGCGUCUUGGAAUUCAGCCUUGCUUUUGCUUGGUGUUUUUUCCAAGUUGCAGGCCAACGUCGGUUUUGGGCACUGGAGAAUGGUAGGAGGAACGUGGCACCUCUCGGGGUGUGUUAUAGCCUCCUACUGGAUACAGCGACCGAGACCGAGGAACGCAGCGUACUCGUAAGAGCGGGCCUUUUGGCACCUUUACGCUUAGGGCGUUGGCAUAAUGGCCCUCUACCACCCGUCUUGAAACACGGACCAAGGAGUCU
rnacentral:rRNA from 1 species